AACGAGUUAUCUGCACUAGCGAGGUUAAGUGGAAGACACGGAGCCGCAGCGAAAGCGAGUCUUAAGAGGGCGCUAGUUAGUGUAGGUAGACCCGAAACCGCAGUGAUCUACCCAUGUCCAGGUUGAAGCGCAGGUAAAAUUGCGUGGAGGACCGAACCGGUGAGCGUUGAAAAGCUUUCGGAUGAGAUGUGGGUAGGGGUGAAAUUCCAAUCGAACGCGGAGAUAGCUGGUUCUCCCCGAAAUAGCUUUAGGGCUAGCCUGAGGUAGUAAGUAUAGGCGGUAGAGCACUGAUCGGGCUAGGGGCCGUAAAGGUUACCGAACCCUGUCAAACUCCGAAUGGAUAUACUGUAGAGCCUUGGAGUCAGACUACGAGUGAUAAGAUCCGUGGUCAAAAGGGAAACAGCCCAGACCACCAGCUAAGGUCCCCAAUGUCGUACUAAGUGGAAAAGGAUGUGGGGUUUCAUAAACAACCAGGAUGUUGGCUCAGAAGCAGCCACCAUUUAAAGAGUGCGUAAUAGCUCACUGGUCGAGAGACCCUGCGCCGAAGAUUCCCGGGGCUAAAGUACGAAACCGAAGCUGUGGCUGUAUACGUAAAGUAUACGGGGUAGGGGAGCGUUCCCAUAGGGUAGAAGUCGAACUGGAAGGUUCGGUGGACUUGUGGGAAGUGAGAAUGUUGGUAUGAGUAGCGAAAAGAAAGGUGAGAAUCCUUUCCACCGAAAGCAUAAGGAUUCCUGAGCAACGAUCGUCGUCUCAGGGUAAGUCGGGACCUAAUCCGAGGCAGAGAGCGUAGGAGAUGGACAACUGGUUGAUAUUCCAGUACCGGUAGUAAUUGUUUGAGCAAUGGAGUGACACAGAAGGGCAGGCAAGCAUGCGAAUGGAAGAGCAUGUGUAAGCGUGUAGGGUGGUGCAUAGGCAAAUCCGUGCACUGAAAGCCUGAGGCGUGAUGCGGAGUGAGCAGAGAUGCGAGCGAAGUUGUUGACCCCACACUGUCGAGAAAAGCUUCUAGUGAGAGAGCUACCGCCCGUACCGUAAACCGACACAGGUAUGCGGGGAGAGAAUCCUAAGGUGCGCGGGAGAACCCUCGUUAAGGAACUCGGCAAAAUGUACCCGUAACUUCGGGAUAAGGGUAGCCACUGUUGUGAAGUCCCAUGCGGAUGGAGCAUAGAGUGGUCGCAGAGAAGAGGCCCAAGCGACUGUUUACCAUAAACACAGGUGCCUGCUAAAGCGAAAGCUGACGUAUAGGUGCUGACACCUGCCCAGUGCCGGAAGGUUAAGGAAGGAUGUUCGGAUUAGUCCAAAGCAUUCGACUGAAGCCCCGGUGAACGGCGGCCGUAACUAUAACGGUCCUAAGGUAGCGAAAUUCCUUGUCGGGUAAGUUCCGACCCGCACGAAAGGUGUAACGAUUUGGGCACUGUCUCAACGAGGGACCCGGUGAAAUUGAAAUACCUGUGAAGAUGCAGGUUACCCGCGACUGGACAGAAAGACCCCAUGGAGCUUUACUGUAACCUGACAUUGGGUUUUGAUACAUUACGUACAGGAUAGGUGGGAGGCAUGGAAAGCUGGACGCUAGUCUGGCUGGAGCCGACGUUGGGAUACCACCCUUGAUGUAUUGAAAUUCUAACCGCGAGAGUAACGAAAUCCGGGACAGUGUCAGGCGGGCAGUUUGACUGGGGCGGUCGCCUCCGAAAGAGUAACGGAGGCGCCCAAAGGUUCCCUCAGCGCGGCCGGAAAUCGCGCGAAGAGUGUAAAGGCAGAAGGGAGCUUGACUGCGAGUCAAACACGACGAGCAGGUACGAAAGUAGGGCUUAGUGAUCCGGUGGUACCGAGUGGAAGGGCCAUCGCUCAACGGAUAAAAGCUACCCUGGGGAUAACAGGCUAAUCUCUCCCAAGAGUUCAUAUCGACGGGGAGGUUUGGCACCUCGAUGUCGGCUCAUCACAUCCUGGGGCUGAAGUCGGUCCCAAGGGUUGGGCUGUUCGCCCAUUAAAGUGGUACGUGAGCUGGGUUCAGAACGUCGUGAGACAGUUCGGUCCCUAUCCAUCGCGGGCGCAAGAGAUUUGAAGGGGGCUGCUCCUAGUACGAGAGGACCGGAGUGGACGAACCGCUGGUGUACCAAUUAUCCCGCCAGGGGUACAGUUGGGUAGCUACGUUCGGAAAGGAUAAACGCUGAAAGCAUCUAAGCGUGAAACCAGCCUUAAGAUGAGAUCUCUCAUAGAGCAAUCUAGUAAGACACCUUAAAGAAGAUGAGGUUGAUAGGUCGGGAGUGUAAGUACAGCAAUGUAUUGAGCGGACCGAUACUAAUAUGUCGAGGGCUUGACUUA
rnacentral:rRNA from 1 species